ensembl:misc_RNA Metazoa_SRP Metazoan signal recognition particle RNA
GCCAGUGGCUAAGUGGCACAUGCCUAUAGUCCAGCUAAUCCAGAGGCUGAGGCAGGAUGAUUGCUUAAGACUAGGAGUUCUGGGCUGUAGUGUGCUAUGCCAAUAGGGUGUCUACACUAAGUUUAGCAUCAGUAGGUGACGUUUGUGAAAGCAGGGGACUGCUAGGUUGUCUAAGGAGGGAUGAACCAGCCCAGGUCAGAAAUGGAGCAGGUCAAAUAUCCCAUGCUUAUCAGUGGUAGGAUAGUGCCUGUGAAUAGCCACUGUGCUCCAGCCUGGGCAACAUAGUGAGGCCCCAUCUCU